GGGCAACGCGGGGACCAGCACCAGGCCCUCGGCCUCGAUUCCCGCGCUCUAUGGGACCGCGUCCCCGACCCAUGCGGCGCCGCACGGGGACUCCAGACUCCAACCGAUCCCAUCCCUGCGCCAGGCGGGCAGAGCGCUCAACUCGGGGCUGGAGAAUCCCGAGGAUCGAUAGUAGGAAAGAAUAGAAAGUCUCCCUGCGCGCGGGGAGAGCGUAGGGCCAGCCUUGCUCAGCAGCAGGCAGACUGGGAAAGCAGAACUCCAGGACAGCCCUCGGCGGGGCCCGCGGCGGGUCAGCGGGAGGCGGGAGGGAGGUGCCCGCAGCCCGGACUCGACGUAGACGCCCGCGCCGCCCGCGAUGGGAAGUGCCUUAUAAAGCCGCGGCUUGCGCGGCGGGACAGACUCCUGGCGGCGCCGCCCAGAGCGCGGACCGCACGCAGCCGCCCCAGAGUGUGUACGGAGCCCGGGCAUAUCCGCGGGGUACCAGCCUCGCCCCACGCAGACUCUUAACUGCCGUGGCUGGGCUCGACCGCGUCCUAAAGAAGGACCCCUGAUCGCCCCUGUCCGGAACCACUCUUGCCCAGGCGGACCCCGGGUUGGGGGCCGAGGGCGCCCCCGGCGGCAGGGGCAUGCGCGGCCCGCGGCAUGGCCUCGGCGGUGUUUGAGGGCACGUCGCUCGUGAACAUGUUCGUGCGCGGCUGCUGGGUGAACGGGAUCCGCAGGCUCAUCGUCAGCCGGCGUGGCGACGAGGAGGAGUUCUUCGAGAUCCGUACCGAGUGGUCGGACCGCAGCGUGCUCUACCUUCACCGCAGCUUCGCAGACCUGGGUCGCCUGUGCAAGCGCCUCCGUGACGCCUUCCCCGAGGACCGGCCCGAGCUGACGCGCGCGCCGCUGCGGCAAGGACUGCUUGCCAUCAAGGAAGCACACGACACAGAGACCAGGCUCAAUGAGGUUGAGAAGCUAUUGGAGACUGUCAUCAGCAUGCCCUGUAAGUAUUCUAGGUCUGAGGUGGUGCUCACCUUCUUUGAGAGAUCGCCUCUGGAUCAGGUGUUAAAAAAUGAUAAUGUCCAUAAAAUUCAACCCAGCUUUCAAAGUCCUGUCAAAAUAUCAGAAAUCAUGAGGUCCAAUGGAUUUUGUUUGGCAAACACAGAAACAAUAGUCAUUGACCACAGCAUACCCAACGGGAAGGACCAGCUCCUGGAUGCGGAUUCCACAGAGCAUCUAUCCAGCAUCUAUAUUACUCUACACUUCCUGGACUGGAGCUGUGACACGCCGGUGGUCUCACAAGUUUAUGAGUGCUCCAUUAGAACCUUAUUCUAGAGAGGAGCAUGGAUUACUGAGGGCUGGACAGCCAAAGGCCACUGUUGCCUGCAGUCUCCCACCUCUACAAUGGGACUUCUGACCAGGAUGUGCUGGAGAGAGCCUGCCACCUAGAGGCCUGGAGGAACAGCUGCUUGCAUGCUUAGCUCCUGCAGGUUUGAGAAUGGCGGCAAGUUCUCUCCGGAGCUGGAGGAUGGUGAUGACCCAGCAGCUUAUGUCACCAACUUGUCCUAUUACCACCUGGUUCCGUUUGAGACAGACAUCUUGGACUGAGCCACUCCAUCAGGCCUUCUCUGCCUCAGUUGGUCCUUGACUGCAUGUCCUCAUGCUGUCCACUGUGUGGCCCCCACGGGCCAAAGCCGCUGCUCAGCCUGGGCCUCCUGGGCCCUGAGAUUCACCAGGCCUAGAAAUCCUGAAAGCGGAAGCACAGGGGCUCUUGCUGUCCACAGGCUGACGCCAGCAACAGGAGGCCACAUGCCCUGCAGCUCUGAGGGGUCUUCCACCAGCACUCAGCCCCGCUAGCCUGCCUCUUCUCCCGGGACACACUGUUCCUGCGGGCCAUGCUUCCUCUUGUUCUCACUGCCUUCUUGAGGGGAGCGUUCCGCUUGGUCACAGGGCCCUGACUCCCCAAAUUUCUCUCAUGUGUCAAAGGCACAUUUCAAGAGGAUUUUUGAUAAAUCACCAAGGUCUGGACCACAAGGGCAGGGGAGAGUAAGUGACUCAGGGCUUCCCUGAGAUGUGUGGCUUUUGUUUCUUGCUUUACAUCUCCUCCCUGGAAAUGGGGUUUGGGGGUCAGCUGGAAGGAGUGUUUACGCAAUGUCAAGCCUGGAGGGAAGUGCUGACAUCAGGGAGGGGAAAGCAUUCAGAGUCCUGUGUGUAUGAACCCAGUGUGAAGUUUUCCUCCAGAGCAAAGAGUUCCCUCCUCUCUGCCAGCCCCUGUCAGCUCUUCUGCCUGACUGUGAUGCUCUUACCAUCUCGGGUGCUCGAAGCUCCUCCCCUGGUGCACUCAAUGGCACAACUGCCAUGAUGAAUCAGAAAGGAAGGGAUGGGGAGGAAGGGAAGCUUACGGCUUGGACCACAGGCAAGUCUGGGUCCUGCCCGCUCGUCUCCUCACUGUGUCUACUAACGACCAGCAUUUGCUAAUGUAAAUAAUAGUAAAUUAUUGAAAAUUCUAAUUCUUUUACACAGUCUGUUUUUAAUCUAUUUUAAUUAAAUAAAAUCUAUUGCUCUACUUUGA